GAUGAACGCUGGCGGCGUGCCUAACACAUGCAAGUCGAACGAAGCACUGAGAAACUGAGAUUCGUCAAGGUUUUUCUUUGACUUAGUGGCGGACGGGUGAGUAAUGCGUGAGCAACCUGCCUUUCAGAGGGGGACAACAGUUGGAAACGACUGCUAAUACCGCAUAACAUAUUCGGGUGGCAUCACCUGGAUAUCAAAGAUUUAUCGCUGAAAGAUGGGCUCACGUCUGAUUAGUUAGUUGGUGAGGUAACGGCUCACCAAGACUGCGAUCAGUAGCCGGACUGAGAGGUUGAACGGCCACAUUGGGACUGAGAUACGGCCCAGACUCCUACGGGAGGCAGCAGUGGGGAAUAUUGGGCAAUGGGCGAAAGCCUGACCCAGCAACGCCGCGUGAAGGAAGAAGGUCUUCGGAUUGUAAACUUCUUUUAUCAGGGACGAAGGAAGUGACGGUACCUGAUGAAUAAGCCACGGCUAACUACGUG
rnacentral:rRNA from 1 species